rnacentral:lncRNA from 1 species
AUGCAUCGGAGCAACUUUGAUCUUGUAUCUGUGACAGGCGCCUUUAUUGGUCGGUUGCGAUGUGCGAUCAAUGAGCAAAGAAACAUACAUACUUAGUAAUAGAGAAGUUAUAGCAAUGAAUCAAGGUCGGUUAAGACAAUUUAUAAUCAUUUUCUUUUUAUAAUUUUUUGGAUAUUUACUCACCAGCCUCAUGUUGAUACAGAUAGCCUUGGAGUCCAAGGAAAGAAGGUUAAGAAAAAUGGUGAUUUGGAGGUUUGGGCUGGCCCAGUUGCACGUUGGUCCGACAUAGGACUCAACUCGACCACAGUCGUUAAGGCUCCUGACUUGUGGGCGUACAAGACUCAAAGAUCAGUGAAGGGACAGAUCU